rnacentral:rRNA from 1 species
AUGCCGCAGCGGGGCGGCGCGGCGCCCGCCGCCCCCGCCCCCGAGGAGGACGCGCUGUUUAUCGAUUUACUACAUGAAGCUCCCCUGUCUGGCCAUCGAGAGCCUAGGAGCAUAGUCAGUGGCACCUUGUACUGUAUAUUGUUGGUAGGUUAUGCUGCUGUGUCUGUGUCAGCUCCAUGGAUAUUUCUUCGUGUACCAGGCAUGAUCCCUCCAUUGCUAUGCAGCUCCAAUGUUAUCCUUCUGCUUCUUACAGGCAUUUUUCAACAAUAUUGGGUUCACCAGGUCAGGAAAGUGAGGUUGCAGGGCUAUUAUGAUUUUAGCCAAAAACUGAAGCACAUUGCUCGACUUCCAUUUGCCACUAUUGCUUAUGGCACUGCUUUAAUGCUCUUAAUCAUAGUCUGGCAACCUUUUGUACAUAUACUAUCAAUUUCAUUGUUACUAAGGAUUACUAUCGUGGUUGAAGCAACAUGUGCUGGAUGCUUUAUGAGCUUAUACAUAUGGUAUAUCCAUAAGUACAACUCUUUGGAUGGGCGGCCUGAUAUCUUGCAGUCAUUAUAUUCUGCACUUCAACCAUCUACUACGACUUUGGAAGAUCGAAGAUAUUAUGAUGGCCGUCUCUCUGACCAGCAGAUGGCAUUACUUCAAUACCAAAGGGAGAAUAUUCAUUACCUGAGUGAGGAGGUGCUGCGCUUGCAAGAAUGUUUGAGCAAAUACCAGAGAACUGAUGUUGGGAACACUCCUCAGGUUGAUCUUGUCCAUCUUUUAGCAUCUCGUGACCAAGAACUUCGAGCACUCUCCGCCGAGAUGAAUCAAGUGCACUCAGAGCUUCAGCUUGCUCGUGGCCUGAUUGAUGAAAAGGACUCGGAGAUCCAGCGUAUUCGUUUGAGCAACAGUCAGUACGUUGAAGAAAAUGAUAGACUCAGAGCUAUUCUUGGAGAAUGGAGUUCUCGAGCAGCAAAGCUUGAACGGGCACUGGAGGCAGAGCGACUGUCAAACAUUGAACUGCGGAAGAACAUUGCAAAAUUCCGAGGGCAAUUGCAUAAGGAGCAACACGCCUGA